CUGCCUAUGGAACACCCCCUAGCUAGCUAGCCCUGCUCUGCCUCUGCGUCAAUAAUUGGUGGAUUUGGCAUUCCAUUGGACCAGUGGUUUGGAAUGCCAGGAAAGACAUGUACUUUUCCGGUGUACUGCAUGAUCCAUGAUACACAUUGGUGUGGUGGCCUGGGCUCACCGGCUGCUGGCCGCCCGGCUCCUCCUCCUCCUAGCUGUAGCAAAUAUGGGCACUGCUCCUAUCCUGGGACCGUUCGUGUUUUGUCAGGCCUAUCCAGAAGAAACAUCGCAAUCCAGACUAGCCUAUGCAUGCCUACACUGUGUAGUAUACUUGCUUUGCUCGAUAUUAUAGGUUUAUUUGUUUGUCAUAUUGCUCCAAUGCUCCUAGCCUAGUGGAGAUAUAAGGGCAAUCAGGUGUCAGUGUUUAAUUAGCUUAGUUUCCUGAGAAGAUCUGUUAGUAGUGAACUACUAGUGAUCAUUGUGUUUCCUCUCCUUUUUUUUAACUUUGUUUUUUUUUGUCUUGAACAGAUCGAUUUAUCUUGGCUAUGAAUCUAGUUGUCAUAAAAAAACUAACAAUAAUAUGAAUAAUCAUUAAUCAAGAGGCCGUUUUUUUUUUGUUUUUGGAAAAAUAACAUUUGUAAAUGUACAUGGAGCUUGUGAGUUAUUUCGCAACGACCAAAAUGACCGGUGUUAGCCCUUGCCGCACACGACAUUCUGCUAGUCUAACGGGGUACCUAGCAAUUAAUUUAGAAGAGAAUUAGAGUCACAUAUAAACACACACACACCACUUCGUCAUGUGGUUGAACCAGCAGUAAACUACUAAUUUCAUUGUCAUGAGAUGGUCCAUCAGAUAUAGCACACUUUCAACAUUUAUAUUCAUAUAUUCUAAGAUGAAUAUACAUAUAGAUCUAAAUAUUCUUAAAUAUGAAUUAUUUUUAGCCUAUGGUAAAAAAUAUUAUAAUUUAUUCACAAAUGUUUAUUAGUUGAGUCUAACUCUCUAGAAGUAGCUAAGGAAAAAAACUAUAGAUUAGCUAUUGUUUCAAUAGCAUUCGAAGCAACUAUAAUUACUCCCACAAAAGUCAUUUCGUUAUAUAUGU
rnacentral:lncRNA from 1 species